rfam:Rattus norvegicus chromosome X, whole genome shotgun sequence.
GGAGAUAUGGCUCAAUGGUUAAGAGCACUGGCUGCUCCUCCAGAGGUCCUGAGUUCAAUUCCCAGCAACCACA